rnacentral:rRNA from 1 species
AGCGAACGUUUGCGGCGGGCCUAACACAUGCAAGUCGAACGCACUAGCAAUAGUGAGUGGCGCACGGGUGCGUAACACGUGGGUAAUCAACCCUUCAGCUUGGGAUAACGACUUGAAAGGGUCGCUAAUACCGGAUACGGCGCGGGAGGCUUCGGCUUCUCACGAGAAAGCCUCGCAAGGGGCACUGAAGGACGAGCCUGCGGCCCAUUAGCUAGUUGGUGAGGUAAGAGCUCACCAAGGCGAAGACGGGUAGCUGGUCUGAGAGGAUGAUCAGCCACACUGGAACUGAGACACGGUCCAGACUCCUACGGGAGGCAGCAGUGGGGAAUAUUGCGCAAAGGGCGAAAGCCUGACGCAGCCACGCCGCGUGAGCGAUGAAGGCCUUCGGGUCG